GGUAUUUAUAUUGCGCCAGCAUAUUCCGUAGCGCUUUACAAUAUUAUCAAAGGGGGGAAUUUAACAAUAAAUAAGACAAUUACAAAAACUGACAGGAACAAUAGGUUGAAGAGGGCCCUGCUCAAAAGAGCUUACAGUCUAUACAAACAGUGUACACAGGGUUAGUGUGAUACAAUCUAUCAAAGGAGUGGGUGGAGGUGGUAGAGAACUCACUCGAUCAG